ACAACCUUACUUGAACAGGAUCUGUUUUAUAGGCUUGUACCUCUGUAUCCUUGAUUUCUAAGGAGACAGUCCCCUAAACCUGGUUGAUGAAUCAUGACCGUGCGAUCUGAGUGUGAUUAACGGCUAUGACUGUCUUCGGACUCUCUGCACUGUAGAGGAUCGUCAUCCAGUUAGGUCAGACCUCUCCGGAGUAGUCGCACGGUUGUCUGACAGGCU
rfam:Brassica napus, WGS project CCCW01000000 data, contig: 12605